UCAAGCAAAAAAGAGCGCAGGGUGGAUGCCUUGGCACUAAGAGCCGAAGAAAGACGUGAUAAGCUGCGAAAAGCUGCGGGGAGGAGCAAAUAUCCACUGAUCCGCAGAUGUCUGAAUGGGGAAACCCGCAUGAGCAUACCUCAUGCAUCCAUACGCCAAUCCAUAACGUAUGGAGGGGAACCGCCUGAACUGAAACAUCUAAGUAGGGCGAGGAAGAGAAAGAAAAUUUAUCGAUUUCCAAAGUAGCGGCGAGCGAAAUGGAAAGAGGCCAAACCGGAGUGCGUGCACUCCGGGGUUCGGACCGCAUUUAAGAUUCAGUGAUUCUAGCAGAAAGGUUUGGGAAAGCCUGCCGGAGAGGGUGAAAGCCCCGUAAGCGAAAGGAGAGCUGACUGAGCGGAAUCCAGAGUACAUCGAGACACGAGAAACCUUGAUGGAAUGAGCGGGGACCACCCCGUAAGCCUAAAUACUCCUUAGUGACCGAUAGCGCAUAGUACUGUGAAGGAAAGGUGAAAAGGACCCCGGGAGGGGAGUGAAAGAGAACCUGAAACCCUGUGUUUACAAGCUGUGGGACAUCUUUACAUGAUGAACCGCGUACUUUUUGUAGAACGGUCCGGCGAGUUGCGGAUGCCGGCAAGGUUAAGCACUUAAGGUGUGGAGCCGAAGGGAAACCAAGUCUGAAGAGGGCGCAUAUAGUCAGUAUCCGCAGACCCGAAACCGGGUGAUCUACCCAUGUCCAGGUUGAAGUUGCCGUAAAAGGCAAUGGAGGACCGAACGCACAUCCGUUGAAAAGGGUGGCGAUGAGGUGUGGGUAGGGGAGAAAUUCCAAUCGAACCCGGAGAUAGCUGGUUCUCCUCGAAAUAGCUUUAGGGCUAGCCUCGUUUUAGUCUUAUGGAGGUAGAGCACUGAAUUUCCGCGGGGGCGUCAAAGCUUACCAAAGAAUAUCAAACUCCGAAUGCCAUGUAGAUGAUGAACGGGAGUCAGACUGCACGAGAUAAGUUGGGCAGUCAAAAGGGAAAGAGCCCAGACCGCCAGCCAAGGUCCCAAAGUGUGUGUUAAGUGGAAAAGGAUGUGGGAUCUCCAAGACAACUAGGAUGUUGGCUCAGAAGCAGCCACACAUUCAAAGAGUGCGUAACAGCUCACUAGUCGAGAGGUCCUGCGCCGAAAAUGUCCGGGGCUGAAACACAACACCGAAGCUGCGGAAUUGCGAAUGCAAUUGGUAGAGGAGCAUUCUUAAUACCGACGAAGCUGUACCGGAAGGAGCAGUGGAGGGAUAAGAAGAGAGAAUGCCGGAAUGAGUAGCGAGAGAGAGGUGGGAAUCCUCUCGGCCGAAUAUCCAAGGUUUCCAGAGUAAAGCUGAUCUGCUCUGGGUAAGUCGGGGCCUAAGGCGAGGUCGAAAGACGUAGCCGAUGGACAACAGGUUUAGAUUCCUGUACCGCAUAUAAACAGAACUGUGGGGACGCAUGGGGAGAGCAUGGGCCGGGAAUGGAAAUACCGGUGCAAGCGAAGGAGGUGUGCAGCCGGCAAAUCCGCUGCAUGAGCCGAAAGCGUGACGCGGAGCGAAAUGAAAGUAGCGAAGCAUGUGAGCCCUGUGCCGAGAAAAGCCGCUAUUGCUUUAUAUGUGCCCGUACCGUAAACCGACACAGGUGGAUGAGGAGAGAAUCCUAAGGCCGGCGGAAGAAGUAUUGUUAAGGAACUCGGCAAAAUGACCCCGUAACUUCGGGAGAAGGGGUGCCCACGGGAGUGGGCCGCAGAGAAUAGGCUCAAGCAACUGUUUAGCAAAAACACAGGUCUAUGCGAAACCGAAAGGUGAAGUAUAUGGGCUGACGCCUGCCCGGUGCUGGAAGGUUAAGAGGAGAGGUUAGCGCAAGCGAAGCUUUGAAUUUAAGCCCCAGUAAACGGCGGCCGUAACUAUAACGGUCCUAAGGUAGCGAAAUUCCUUGUCGGGUAAGUUCCGACCCGCACGAAAGGCGUAAUGAUUUGAGCACUGUCUCGACAAUGCAUCCGGUGAAAUUGAAGUACCAGUGAAGAUGCUGGUUACCCGCGCCAGGACGGAAAGACCCCAUGGAGCUUUACUCCAGUUUGGUACUGGGAUUCGGUACUGCACGUACAGGAUAGGUGGGAGACUUUGAAACUUGAACGCCAGUUUGAGUGGAGUCGCUGUUGGGAUACCACCCCUGCAGUAUUGGGUUUCUAACCAGUCACCGUGACCCGGUGAUGGGACAAUGCCAGGCGGGGAGUUUGACUGGGGCGGUCGCCUCCGAAAGGGUAUCGGAGGCGCUCAAAGGUUCCCUCAGAAUGGUUGGAAACCAUUUGAAGAGUGCAAAGGCAGAAGGGAGCUUGACUGCGACACCGACGGGUGGAGCAGGUACGAAAGUAGGACUUAGUGAUCCGGUGGUAUAAAGUGGGAUUGCCAUCGCUCAACGGAUAAAAGCUACCCUGGGGAUAACAGGCUUAUCACUCCCAAGAGUUCACAUCGACGGAGUGGUUUGGCACCUCGAUGUCGGCUCAUCGCAUCCUGGGGCUGUAGCAGGUCCCAAGGGUUGGGCUGUUCGCCCAUUAAAGCGGUACGCGAGCUGGGUUCAGAACGUCGUGAGACAGUUCGGUCCCUAUCCGGCGUGGGCGUAGGAUAUCUGAGAGGAGCUGUCCUUAGUACGAGAGGACCGGGAUGGACUGACCUCUGGUGCAUCGGUUGAGCCACCAGGCUCAUGGCCGAGUAGCCAAGUCGGGACGGGAUAAACGCUGAAGGCAUCUAAGCGUGAAGCCCCCCUCAAGAUGAGAUAUCCCAUACGCAAGUAGUAAGACCCCUUGAAGACGACGAGGUAGAUAGGGCAGAGGUGGAAGUGCAGUAAUGUACGGAGCUGACUGUUACUAAUCGGUCGAGGGCUUAUCCAG
rnacentral:rRNA from 1 species